rnacentral:rRNA from 1 species
AUUGCACGCUGGCGGCAGGCUUAACACAUGCAAGUCGAGCGAGCGGCGGACGGGUUAGUAAUGUCUGGGAAACUGCCUGCUGGAGGGGGAUAACUACUGGAAACGGUAGCUAAUCCCGCAUACCAUCAGAUGUGCCCAGAUGGGAUUAGCUCGUAGGUGGGGUAAUGGCUCACCUAGGCGACGAUCCCUAGCUGGUCUGGGAGGAUGACAAGCCAAACUGGAGCGGAGAACAGGUCCAGACUCAUACGGGAGGCAUCAGUGGGGAAGAUUGCACAAUGGGCGGAAGCCUGAUGCAGCCAUGCCGCGUGUGUGAAGAAGGCCUUCGGGUUGUAAAGCACUUUCAGCGAGGAGGCGUUACUCGCAGAAGAAGCACCGGCUAACUCCGUGCCAGCAGCCGCGGUAAUAC